GGGGCCGUGGUGUAAUGGGAUCACGACGCGGUCGCAUCGCGUAGAUGGGGGUUCGAUUCCCCCCGGCUCCA
rnacentral:tRNA from 1 species